GGUCCUAUGGGUUAGUUGGCAAAGCGCCUGCCUUGUAAGCAGGAGAUCACGAGUUCGAGUCUCGUUGGUACCU
rnacentral:tRNA from 1 species